CUACGGGUGGCACCAGUGAGGAAUAUUGGACAAUGGAGGCAACUCUGAUCCAGCCAUGCCGCGUGCAGGAAGAUGGCCCUAUGGGUUGUAAACUGCUUUUAUACAGGAAGAAACGCCUCCUCGUGAGGGGGUUUGACGGUACUGUACGAAUAAGGAUCGGCUAACUCCGUGCCAGCAGCCGCGGUAAUACGGAGGAUCCAAGCGUUAUCCGGAAUCAUUGGGUUUAAAGGGUCCGUAGGCGGUUUAAUAAGUCAGAGGUGAAAUCCUACAGCUCAACUGUAGAAUUGCCUUUGAUAUUGUUAGACUAGAGUUAUUGUGAAGUAGUUAGAAUGUGUAGUGUAGCGGUGAAAUGCAUAGAUAUUACACAGAAUACCGAUUGCGAAAGCAGAUUACUAACAAUACACUGACGCUGAGGGACGAAAGCGUGGGUAGCGAACAGGAUUAGAUACCCUUGUAGUC
rnacentral:rRNA from 1 species